rnacentral:rRNA from 1 species
GAUGAACGCUGGCGGCGUGCCUAAUACAUGCAAGUCGAGCGAAUGGAUUAAGAGCUUGCUCUUAUGAAGUUAGCGGCGGACGGGUGAGUAACACGUGGGUAACCUGCCCAUAAGACUGGGAUAACUCCGGGAAACCGGGGCUAAUACCGGAUAAUAUUUUGAACUGCAUGGUUCAAAAUUGAAAGGCGGCUUCGGCUGUCACUUAUGGAUGGACCCGCGUCGCAUUAGCUAGUUGGUGAGGUAACGGCUCACCAAGGCAACGAGGCGUAGCCGACCUGAGAGGUUGAUCGGCCACACUGGGACUGAGACACGGCGCAGACUCCUGCGGGAGGAAGCAGUAGGGAAUCUUCCGCAAUGGACGAAAGUCUGACGGAGCAACGCCGCGUGAGUGAUGAAGGCUUUCGGGUCGUAAAACUCUGUUGUUAGGGAAGAACAAGUGCUAGUUGAAUAAGCUGGCACCUUGACGGUACCUAACCAGAAAGCCACGGCUAACUACGUGCCAGCCGCCGCCGUAA